UACGUAGGAGGCGAGCGUUGUCCGGAGUUACUGGGCGUAAAGGGUGCGCAGGCGGCGGUUCGCGUGGCGAGAUGAAAUCUCCUGCUUACCUGGGAGGAUGGUCGCCAGACGGGAUCGCUUGAGGGUCGGAGAGGGGCGUGGAAUUCCGGGUGGAGCGGUGAAAUGCGCAGAUAUCAGGAGGAACACCAAUGGCGAAGGCAGCACUCUGGGGACGUGACUGACGCUGAGACGCGAAAAGCGUGGGGAGCAAACAGG
rnacentral:rRNA from 1 species